AUCAACGCUGGCGGCGUGCCUAACACAUGCAAGUCGAACGCGAAAGCCCCGCAAGGGGUCAGUAGAGUGGCACACGGGUGAGUAACACGUGGGUGACCUGCCUUCGAGUGGGGGAUAACGUCCCGAAAGGGACGCUAAUACCGCAUGACAUCCUGCUUUUGAAAAAGCGGAGAUCAAAGCUGGGGAUCGCAAGACCUAGCGCUUGAAGAGGGGCCCGCGCCUGAUUAGCUAGUUGGUGAGGUAACGGCUCACCAAGGCGACGAUCAGUAUCCGGCCUGAGAGGGCGGACGGACACACUGGGACUGAGACACGGCCCAGACUCCUACGGGAGGCAGCAGUGGGGAAUUGUUCGCAAUGGGCGCAAGCCUGACGACGCAACGCCGCGUGGAGGACGAAGAUCUUCGGGUCGUAAACUCCUGUCGAGCGGGACGAACGCUUCGCGGAUGAAUAAUCCGCGGAAUUGACGGUACCGCUAAAGGAAGCCCCGGCUAACUCCGUG
rnacentral:rRNA from 1 species